UACGUAGGGGGCAAGCGUUAUCCGGAUUUACUGGGUGUAAAGGGAGCGUAGACGGACUGGCAAGUCUGAUGUGAAAGGCGGGGGCUCAACCCCUGGACUGCAUUGGAAACUGUUAGUCUUGAGUGCCGGAGAGGUAAGCGGAAUUCCUAGUGUAGCGGUGAAAUGCGUAGAUAUUAGGAGGAACAUCAGUGGCGAAGGCGGCUUACUGGACGGUAACUGACGUUGAGGCUCGAAAGCGUGGGGAGCAAACAGG
rnacentral:rRNA from 1 species